ACACAUGCAAGUCGAACGGCAGCACGGAGCUUGCUCUGGUGGCGAGUGGCGAACGGGUGAGUAAUAUAUCGGAACGUACCCUGGAGUGGGGGAUAACGUAGCGAAAGUUACGCUAAUACCGCAUACGAUCUACGGAUGAAAGUGGGGGAUCGCAAGACCUCAUGCUCGUGGAGCGGCCGAUAUCUGAUUAGCUAGUUGGUAGGGUAAAAGCCUACCAAGGCAUCGAUCAGUAGCUGGUCUGAGAGGACGACCAGCCACACUGGAACUGAGACACGGUCCAGACUCCUACGGGAGGCAGCAGUGGGGAAUUUUGGACAAUGGGCGAAAGCCUGAUCCAGCAAUGCCGCGUGAGUGAAGAAGGCCUUCGGGUUGUAAAGCUCUUUUGUCAGGGAAGAAACGGUGAGGGCUAAUAUCCCUUGCUAAUGACGGUACCUGAAGAAUAAGCACCGGCUAACUACGUGCCAGCAGCCGCGGUAAUACGUAGGGUGCAAGCGUUAAUCGGAAUUAC
rnacentral:rRNA from 1 species